rnacentral:tRNA from 1 species
GCUUCGUGGUCUAGUGGUUAAACGCUCGCGUGCGAGACUCAUAGGUCCUGGGUUCGAAUCUCGCGAGGCGG